AGUAAGACCCUGUCGCAAGAAAAAAAGAAAAAAAGUUAUGGAAAAAUAUGUAAUAACUGAGGAUCCUAGGUCACUGAAGAGGAGUAUAGUGCUUCCCUGGACUCUGUUUUUUUUAGAGGUCCUACUUUUACUUUCUCUGGCGACACCACCCCUGUGGGGUGAGACUUGUGCAGUGGCCAAUAUACCUUUUCCACCCAGAGCCCACAUUUCCCCUUUAGACCAUAUUUCAGCUACCCAGAGAGCCCAGAGUUGCCCUGCUAAAGGGCCUUGCCCCCAUUCCUCAGAUGCGGGCAAGUAUCUUCCCUGGGACCACCCUUCGAAGGCAGACCAUGCCACGGCAUCCAUGCAGUGGACCCAAAGGGUGGCCAAGGGAUGGUGGCUGUUUUUGUGGGGUGUACACAAUUCCCAGGCCCGUCAUAGUAAAAGCUGAAGUCGAAGUUCCAAAGAGAAGGUGAAUGUCUUGAAAGUGGGGAACUGCUUUUCCUAGAGCCUCAAUAUUUAGGCACAAAGCACUGAGUCUGCAUAUUCUGAAUUAGAACCUGCCCUGUCAAGUUGUUAGGAAACUGUAUUUAUCAAGUUAAGUGGAUAGAGCAUAUUUUAUUUAGUAGUUUUUAGCUGGAUUUAUACCUUUCAACUAUUUAGACAUGUGGUAUGUGGGCUUCCGUUUGUGCGCUUGUCCCUGCCUGCCGUGCGGUUUCCCGCUGGGCUGGCAGAGGGUGUGUUUUGUGUGUACACAUAUGCACACAUUUGUUGAAGAGGCACACAGUGAUAACAGGAGUGGAGGGGGUGGGGAUGUAAGACAAAUCAAUUUUCCAGCAUUGCUCUUGGACCUGUCAUUCUUUGUCGUCAAAAUAAAAUCGAUUCUUCGGUACAUGAGAUUAAUUUUAGAUAUUACAUCUGGUAAGUAUUUAUUAGGUAAUAUCUAGAACAAUUUAAAAAUAUUUGCUGCCUCUACAUAGUACAUUCAUCAGCAGUUAAAUUCCUUGAUUGAAAUUCUCAGUUCAGCUAGAUUCCGAGGAACCCAAAUAUUGACAUAUCUCAGUUAUUGACAAUCUCCUUUGUCCCAAUUCUUUUAGCCCAGUGUUUAUAAAGGGUGAUUACAAUAUCAGCAGCACCAGCCACCUGGGAACUUGUUGGAAAACAAAAUCUGGACAGUCAGUCCCCAAUCCCUAAGCCUAACCUAAAACCCCUAAGGUGGGCAGAUUCAGAAGUCCACUUAAGCAGCUCUCCGUGUGAUUCUGAAGCUUGGCUGCAGGAUGCAAAGUUAUCAGAAGAGACAACCUCUCUGGUUACAAGCCAGCUGGGACGCCACCAGGAUGCGACUGGAAUUCUUUAAGGAGUCUUUGAGGACACUACAUCUAUCCUGGGCAAAUUUCUCGAGACUUGCAGACUGGCUUACAAGGUGUUUUGUCUCACUGGACUCAGACAAGUUGGUGACCAGUACACAGUGAACCUGCUUCACAACAAGAGGAGAAGGAAUUCCAGGUCAUAGUGGAUGAGGCUACCUGCCUGUCUGACCUUUGAGGAAGGGGAAUUUCUGAAACCUUAAGGCUUCUUUGUAUUGUUCAAUUCAGUGAGAAAUAAAUCACUAAUGAUAGCAGGGUUUGCUCUGUUGCCCAGGCUGGAGUACAGUAGCA